rnacentral:rRNA from 1 species
GUGGGGAAUUUUGGACAAUGGGCGCAAGCCUGAUCCAGCAAUGCCGCGUGCAGGAAGAAGGCCUUCGGGUUGUAAACUGCUUUUGUACGGAACGAAACGGUCCGGGUUAAUACCCUGGGCUAAUGACGGUACCGUAAGAAUAAGCACCGGCUAACUACGUGCCAGCAGCCGCGGUAAUACGUAGGGUGCAAGCGUUAAUCGGAAUUACUGGGCGUAAAGCGUGCGCAGGCGGUUUUGUAAGACAGGCGUGAAAUCCCCGGGCUCAACCUGGGAAUUGCGCUUGGGACUGCAAGGCUGGAGUGCGGCAGAGGGGGAUGGAAUUCCGCGUGUAGCAGUGAAAUGCGUAGAUAUGCGGAGGAACACCGAUGGCGAAGGCAAUCCCCUGGGCCUGCACUGACGCUCAUGCACGAAAGCGUGGGGAGCAAACAGGAUUAGAUACCCUUGUAGUCC